AGCCUCAUAGUGAAGUUCAUAAUGAGUUGCAAGCUCGUUGAUGUGCAUUAAGAGUGCGCUGGGGCUU
rnacentral:tRNA from 1 species